GCUGAUAUAGCUUAGGUGGUUUAGAGCACAUUCUUGGUAAGAAUGAGGUCCCCAGUUCAAUUCUGGGUAUCAGCA
rnacentral:tRNA from 1 species